rnacentral:rRNA from 1 species
UAGGGAAUCUUCCGCAAUGGACGCAAGUCUGACGGAGCAACGCCGCGUGAGUGAAGAAGGAUUUCGGUUCGUAAAACUCUGUUGUUAGAGAAGAACAGCGCAUAGAGUAACUGUUAUGCGUGUGACGGUAUCUAACCAGAAAGCCACGGCUAACUACGUGCCAGCAGCCGCGGUAAUACGUAGGUGGCAAGCGUUGUCCGGAUUUAUUGGGCGUAAAGCGAGCGCAGGCGGUCAAUUAAGUCUGAUGUGAAAGCCCCCGGCUCAACCGGGGAGGGUCAUUGGAAACUGAUUGACUUGAGUGCAGAAGAGGAAAGUGGAAUUCCAUGUGUAGCGGUGAAAUGCGUAGAUAUAUGGAGGAAAACCAGUGGCGAAGGCGACUCUCUGGUCUGUAACUGACGCUGAGGCUCGAAAGCGUGGGUAGCAAACAGG